AUGGUGCAGAGAUGCUCUAGGUGAACCGUGCAUUGUGCCUGGAAAUCGCCGCUUUUUAACCCCUGCGUCCACACGACUGAAAAUCGUGGUGUCCCGGGUUCGAGUCCCGGUCUCGCCA
rnacentral:tRNA from 1 species